CCUCAGUAACGGCGAGUGAAGCGGUAACAGCUCAAAUUUGAAAUCUGGCUCUUUCAGGGUCCGAGUUGUAAUUUGUAGAAGAUGCUUUGGGUGUGGCUUCAGUCUAAGUUCCUUGGAACAGGACGUCAUAGAGGGUGAGAAUCCCGUAUGUGAUUGGUGGCUUUCGCCCGUGUAAAGCUCUUUCGACGAGUCGAGUUGUUUGGGAAUGCAGCUCAAAAUGGGUGGUAAAUUUCAUCUAAAGCUAAAUAUUGGCCAGAGACCGAUAGCGCACAAGUAGAGUGAUCGAAAGAUGAAAAGCACUUUGGAAAGAGAGUUAAACAGUACGUGAAAUUGUUGAAAGGGAAGCGUUGGCAACCAGACUCGUAUGCCGCUAAUCAUCCGGGGUUCUCCCCGGUGCACUUGGUGGUUUUCGGGCCAGCAUCGGUUUCGGUGGUGGGAUAAAGGCCUUGGGAAUGUAGCUCCUUUCGGGGAGUGUUAUAGCCCUCGGUGCAAUGCCGCCUACCGGGACCGAGGACCGCGCUUCGGCUAGGA
rnacentral:rRNA from 2 species